rnacentral:rRNA from 1 species
CACGUAGGGCGCAAGCGUUGUCCGGAAUUAUUGGGCGUAAAGAGCUCGUAGGCGGUCUGUUGCGUCCGCUGUGAAAACUCGGGGCUUAACCCCGAGCCUGCAGUGGAUACGGGCAGACUAGAGGUAGGUAGGGGAGAAUGGAAUUCCCGGUGUAGCGGUGAAAUGCGCAGAUAUCGGGAGGAACACCGGUGGCGAAGGCGGUUCUCUGGGCCUUACCUGACGCUGAGGAGCGAAAGCGUGGGGAGCGAACAGGAUUGAGAUACCCC